AUCGAACGCUGGCGGCACGCCUUACACAUGCAAGUCGAACGGCAGCACGGGGGCAACCCUGGUGGCGAGUGGCGAACGGGUGAGUAAUACAUCGGAACGUGUCCUGUAGUGGGGGAUAGCCCGGCGAAAGCCGGAUUAAUACCGCAUACGAUCUGCGGAUGAAAGCGGGGGAUCCUUCGGGACCUCGCGCUACAGGGGCGGCCGAUGGCAGAUUAGCUAGUCGGUGGGGUAAAGGCCUACCAAGGCGACGAUCUGUAGCUGGUCUGAGAGGACGACCAGCCACACUGGGACUGAGACACGGCCCAGACUCCUACGGGAGGCAGCAGUGGGGAAUUUUGGACAAUGGGCGCAAGCCUGAUCCAGCAAUGCCGCGUGUGUGAAGAAGGCCUUCGGGUUGUAAAGCACUUUUGUCCGGAAAGAAAACCUUCGCCCUAAUACGGUGGGGGGAUGACG
rnacentral:rRNA from 1 species